AUAGAAAAAGCUCAAUGGCAGAGCAUCUGAAUUUUAAUCAGAAGGUUUGGGUUCAAUUCCCAUUUCU
rnacentral:tRNA from 1 species